UGGGGUGUCGCCAAGCGGUAAGGCUCUGGUUUCUGAUACCAGCAUCUGGGGUUCGAAUCCCUGCACCCCAGCCA
rnacentral:tRNA from 1 species